UUUAUCGGCGUGGACAUGUUUCGAGAUAAUUUUAAUUUAGAUUUUUAAAAAUAUAUAUAUUAAUGAGGUUACAUACAUAUAAAUCUUAUUGACUUCGUCAUACAUUUAAUGAUAUUAAGAAGCCAAAGACAAAAUUAAUGGAAUAAUAUUGCAAGAUAACACAGAGAUACACACCAGACAUCAGUAUGCAAGUAUCACAGAGAUACACAUCAGACAU